UACGGGGGGGGUAAGCGUUGUUCGGAAUUACUGGGCGUAAAGGGCUCGUAGGCGGCCAACUAAGUCAGACGUGAAAUCCCUCAGCUUAACUGGGGAACUGCGUCUGAUACUGGAUGGCUUGAAUUCGGGAGAGGGAUGCAGAAUUCCAGGUGUAGCGGUGAAAUGCGUAGAUAUCUGGAGGAAUACCGGUGGCGAAGGCGGCAUCCUGGACCGAGAUUGACACUGAUGAGCGAAAGCUAGGGGAGCAAACGGG
rnacentral:rRNA from 1 species